CAGCAGUAGGGAUCUUCCGCAUGGACGAAAGUCUGACGGAGCAACGCCGCGUGAGUGAUGAAGGCUUUCGGGUCGUAAAACUCUGUUGUUAGGGAAGAACAAGUGCUAGUUGAAUAAGCUGGCACCUUGACGGUACCUAACCAGAAAGCCACGGCUAACUACGUGCCAGCAGCCGCGGUAAUACGUAGGUGGCAAGCGUUAUCCGGAAUUAUUGGGCGUAAAGCGCGCGCAGGUGGUUUCUUAAGUCUGAUGUGAAAGCCCACGGCUCAACCGUGGAGGGUCAUUGGAAACUGGGAGACUUGAGUGCAGAAGAGGAAAGUGGAAUUCCAUGUGUAGCGGUGAAAUGCGUAGAGAUAUGGAGGAACACCAGUGGCGAAGGCGACUUUCUGGUCUGUAACUGACACUGAGGCGCGAAAGCGUGGGGAGCAAACAGGAUUAGAUACCCUGGUAGUCCACGCCGUAAACGAUGAGUGCUAAGUGUUAGAGGGUUUCCGCCCUUUAGUGCUGAAGUUAACGCAUUAAGCACUCCGCCUGGGGAGUACGGCCGCAAGGCUGAAACUCAAAGGAAUUGACGGGGGCCCCGCACAAGA
rnacentral:rRNA from 2 species